GCCUGGGUGGCUCAGUCGGUUGAGCGUCUGACUUCAGCUCAGGUCAUGAUCUCGCGGUUUGUGAGUUCGAGCCCUGCGUCAGGCU
rnacentral:tRNA from 1 species